rnacentral:rRNA from 1 species
GGUUACUGCUAUCGGUGUUCGCCUAAGCCAUGCGAGUCAUAUGUUCUUCGGAACAUGGCGUACUGCUCAGUAACACGUGGAUAACCUGCCCUUGGGUCCGGCAUAACCCCGGGAAACUGGGGAUAAUUCCGGAUAACGCAUAUAUGCUGGAAUGCUUUCUGCGUAAAAUGGAUUCGUCUGCCCAAGGAUGGGUCUGCGGCCUAUCAGGUAGUAGUGGGUGUAAUGUACCUACUAGCCGACGACGGGUACGGGUUGUGAGAGCAAGAGCCCGGAGAUGGAUUCUGAGACAUGAAUCCAGGCCCUACGGGGCGCAGCAGGCGCGAAAACUUUACAAUGCGGGAAACCGUGAUAAGGGGACACCGAGUGCCAGCAUCAUAUGCUGGCUGUCCGGGUGUGUAAAAUACACCCGUUAGCAAGGGCCGGGCAAGACCGGUGCCAGCCGCCGCGGUAACACCGGCGGCCCGAGUGGUGAUCGUGAUUAUUGGGUCUAAAGGGUCCGUAGCCGGUUUGGUCAGUCCUCCGGGAAAUCUGAUAGCUCAACUAUUAGGCUUUCGGGGGAUACUGCCAGGCUUGGAACCGGGAGAGGUAAGAGGUACUACAGGGGUAGGAGUGAAAUCUUGUAAUCCCUGUGGGACCACCUGUGGCGAAGGCGUCUUACCAGAACGGGUUCGACGGUGAGGGACGAAAGCUGGGGGCACGAACCGGAUUAGAUACCCGGGUAGUCCCAGCCGUAAACGAUGCUCGCUAGGUGUCACGCAUGGCGCGACCGUGUCUGGUGCCGCAGGAAAGCCGUGAAGCGAGCCACCUGGGAAGUACGGCCGCAAGGCUGAAACUUAA